rnacentral:rRNA from 1 species
AUUAUGGAGAGUUUGAUCCUGGCUCAGGAUGAACGCUGGCGGCGUGCCUAAUACAUGCAAGUCGAGCGAACAGACGAGAG